rnacentral:rRNA from 1 species
AUUGAACGCUGGCGGCAUGCCUUACACAUGCAAGUCGAACGGUAACAGGUCUUCGGAUGCUGACGAGUGGCGAACGGGUGAGUAAUACAUCGGAACGUGCCUAGUAGUGGGGGAUAACCACUCGAAAGAGUGGCUAAUACCGCAUGAGUUCUACGGAUGAAAGCAGGGGAUCGCAAGACCUUGUGCUACUAGAGCGGCCGAUGGCAGAUUAGGUAGUUGGUGGGAUAAAAGCUUACCAAGCCGACGAUCUGUAGCUGGUCUGAGAGGACGAUCAGCCACACUGGGACUGAGACACGGCCCAGACUCCUACGGGAGCCAGCAGUGGGGAAUUUUGGACAAUGGGCGAAAGCCUGAUCCAGCAAUGCCGCGUGCAGGAUGAAGGCCUUCGGGUUGUAAACUGCUUUUGUACGGAACGAAAAGCCCCGGGUUAAUACCCUGGGGUCAUGACGGUACCGUAAGAAUAAGCACCGGCUAACUACGUGCCAGCCGCCGCCGUAA